rnacentral:rRNA from 1 species
GUGAGGAAUAUUGCGCAAUGGGGGCAACCCUGACGCAGCGACGCCGCGUGGAUGAUGAAGGCCUUCGGGUUGUAAAAUCCUGUCAGAUGGGAAGAAGUGCAUCAUGUAUAAUACAUGUGGUGUUUGACGGUACCAUCAAAGGAAGCACCGGCUAACUCCGUGCCAGCAGCCGCGGUAAUACGGAGGGUGCAAGCGUUGUUCGGAAUUACUGGGCGUAAAGCGCGCGUAGGCGGUAAUUUAAGUCAGAUGUGAAAGUCCAUGGCUCAACCAUGGAAGUGCAUUUGAAACUGGGUUACUUGAGUACUGGAGGGGGUAGUGGAAUUCCCGGUGUAGAGGUGAAAUUCGUAGAUAUCGGGAGGAAUACCGGUGGCGAAGGCGACUACCUGGCCAGAUACUGACGCUGAGGUGCGAAAGCGUGGGGAGCAAACAGGAUUAGAUACCCUAGUAGUCC